rnacentral:rRNA from 1 species
GAUGAACGCUGGCGGCGUGCCUAAUACAUGCAAGUCGAGCGAACGGACGAGAGGCUUGCUUCUCUGAUGUUAGCGGCGGACGGGUGAGUAACACGUGGAUAACCUACCUAUAAGACUGGGAUAACUUCGGGAAACCGGAGCUAAUACCGGAUAAUAUUUUGAACCGCAUGGUUCAAAAGUGAAAGACGGUCUUGCUGUCACUUAUAGAUGGAUCCGCGCUGCAUUAGCUAGUUGGUAAGGUAACGGCUUACCAAGGCAACGAUGCAUAGCCGACCUGAGAGGAUGAUCGGCCACACUGGAACUGAGACACGGUCCAGACUCCUACGGGAGGCAGCAGUAGGGAAUCUUCCGCAAUGGGCGAAAGCCUGACGGAGCAACGCCGCGUGAGUGAUGAAGGUCUUCGGAUCGUAAAACUCUGUUAUUAGGGAAGAACAUAUGUGUAAGUAACUGUGCACAUCUUGACGGUACCUAAUCAGAAAGCCACGGCUAACUACGUG